rnacentral:rRNA from 1 species
CAGUAGCCGCGGUAAAACGUAGGUGGCAAGCGUUGUCCGGAAUUAUUGGGCGUAAAGGGCUCGCAGGCGGUUUCUUAAGUCUGAUGUGAAAGCCCCCGGCUCAACCGGGGAGGGUCAUUGGAAACUGGGAAACUUGAGUGCAGAAGAGGAGAGUGGAAUUCCACGUGUAGCGGUGAAAUGCGUAGAGAUGUGGAGGAACACCAGUGGCGAAGGCGACUCUCUGGUCUGUAACUGACGCUGAGGAGCGAAAGCGUGGGGAGCGAACAGGAUUAGAUACCCCUGUAGUCCCUGUCUCUUAUAC